GAUGAACGCUAGCUACAGGCUUAACACAUGCAAGUCGAGGGGCAGCGGUAUCGAAAGCUUGCUUUCGGUAGCCGGCGACCGGCGCACGGGUGAGUAACGCGUAUCGAACCUGCCUCAUACUCGGGAAUAGCCUUGCGAAAGUAAGAUUAAUGCCCGGUGUUUUCAGAGUCCCGCAUGAGGCUUUGAACAAAGAUUUAUCGGUAUGAGAUGGCGAUGCGUCCCAUUAGCUUGUUGGCGGGGUAACGGCCCACCAAGGCAUCGAUGGGUAGGGGUUCUGAGAGGAAGGUCCCCCACAUUGGAGCUGAGACACGGACCAAACUCCUACGGGAGGCAGCAGUGAGGAAUAUUGGUCAAUGGGCGGAAGCCUGAACCAGCCAAGUAGCGUGCAGGAAGACGGCCCUCCGGGUUGUAAACUGCUUUUAGUUGGGAAUAAAACGGGGCUCGUGAGCCCCCUUGCAUGUACCAUCAGAAAAAGGACCGGCUAAUUCCGUG
rnacentral:rRNA from 1 species